rnacentral:tRNA from 1 species
GCCCUCUUAGCUCAGUCGGUAGAGCACCUCCAUGGUAAGGAGGUUGUCGUCGGUUCGAUUCCGACAGAGGGCU